rnacentral:lncRNA from 1 species
GCUGAACAAAGGGUGCAAGGAUACUGACCAGACUGGUUUCUGGCGUUCCCGCCCGUUAGCGAGAAGAAAUUUUAUUAUUUUAUCUGAAUUCUGUGUCUCCGUGUAUUUCUUUCCGAGAUUUCUGCAACAGUACCAGGCUCUGCGUGAGUUCCAAGCCUUUGACUUUGACCAGACACCCUGGCUCACCAGUGUGCAGAUGGCCACUCUGCAUUCUUUCUCCUGUGGCCUGGCCACCGGGGUCCUUCUGCUUCUGAUCCGGGGAGCCUACCUGCACAGUCAAACCAUGAGUCUUGGCAGUUCCUCUGCUUCUUCUGCUUCUGGAACUCCACACCCUGCAUGGACUGGCCUUCUCUCAGCUUUGGGGAUAAGUUAUGCUUCCUUCUAUCUCAGUCAUUGCAUGUACAGGGAACUUCUUUGUUUUCCCUAUAAGGCUCAUCUCUGCUCAAGUUGGCAAAACUCUUCAAGAUGUUCCAGCUCCUGGAAGUUAGCAGUCUUCUGGCCCCUGAAUCCAUCCUAGCAGACAUUGACCCAUCCGGUGUUGCAAGGAACUCCCCAUUGAGUUAAUCAUAUAUUCUAUUUCUUCUGUGUGAACUUUUGUAAUUUCCGUCUUUCUCUCAAAAUGACAAACCAAGUGACCUAAUGUUUUCAUGCUAUUUAC